rnacentral:rRNA from 1 species
AGCGAACGCUGGCGGCAGGCUUAACACAUGCAAGUCGAACGGGCUUCUUCGGAAGUCAGUGGCAGACGGGUGAGUAACACGUGGGAACAUGCCCUUCGGUUCGGAAUAACUCAGGGAAACUUGAGCUAAUACCGGAUACGCCCUUUUGGGGAAAGGUUUACUGCCGAAGGAUCGGCCCGCGUCUGAUUAGCUUGUUGGUGGGGUAACGGCCUACCAAGGCGACGAUCAGUAGCUGGUCUGAGAGGAUGAUCAGCCACACUGGGACUGAGACACGGCCCAGACUCCUACGGGAGGCAGCAGUGGGGAAUAUUGGACAAUGGGCGCAAGCCUGAUCCAGCCAUGCCGCGUGAGUGACGAAGGCCUUAGGGUUGUAAAGCUCUUUUGUCCGGGACGAUAAUGACGGUACCGGAAGAAUAAGCCCCGGCUAACUUCGUG